GACCGCGCAAACGACGAAAACGCGGCUUGAACCGCGUCGAAGGAUCUUGUACAUGGUACGAAAGUUGGAUUCGCUUCGGGGCAGGCGUUCCUCGAUUUCGAUUCACCUGGUGCCGCGAUAUUGGCUCGAUCCCGUGUCGGUUAUGCUCAACAAUCGCUCCCCGACUUUGCCGCUGUCGCCUGUCGACUUCAUGAGAUACUUUGGCGCCGACACGAUCUGAAAGAAGAAAAGUUAAACGAAAUUAAUAGACUUUGAAUACGUAAAGUACGUAAAAUAUGUUAAAAUAUACGAUCUUGCGAACAUGUGUUUAACGACUUCAGUUUAAAAUCAACUUUUUCUUCGAAAAAGUACACGAAUCUAAAAGUUAGGUUAGAAUUUUAUUUCGAAACAUUCUUUCGUGAAAAAUCUAUCGAUAAAUAUCGAUUACAGACGAUUUAUCGGACACGUUCGCCCCGAUAUAUUAUUGCGAAUAUCGAGACUCGAAAAGCGAGAUCGAAAUAGUAUCGAAUAAAAGAAGAGGACGAGAGGUACGAUUAAAAAAAGAGUGAACCAUUCAGAUGACCAGAACACCAUUUGAAAAAUUCGAAGAAUGAAAAUUAUUGUUGGGAAGAUAGAGAAGGAUUGGAGAAGUCGUAAAAAUUUGAAGAACACGUGUAUCCAAAUUGAAAUGAGCGAGAGGAAAUUGAGGACGAGGAAGGAGCGAUCCAAUUCCGAUGAGAACAAUAAAUACGACCUGGUGAACCAGAGACACGGUUUCCCAGAAACCUUCUGUCUCUCGACGUAAGGUCGGUUCGCACGCGAUAAUCGAUCGUACCUGUCACCACCGACCCUGGCUGAAGAACGAGCCGCGAUUUACACAUUGAAAACUUGAAUAUCGAUUUACCUUUCGUUUCAGUUAUAUUGAAAUUGCAAUCGUUAGAAGACGGAUAAUGACAGAUAAAUAAAUUCGCGAUCCAUUUUCUUCUCAUAUUUUCGUACAUCUAUUUUUUUCUUUUAUAAAUCUAAUAAUUACUUAGCAAACGAAUACAUUAUUAUUGUAUUAAAUUGA